CAGGCUGCCGCGGGGAGCCGGGUCCCGGGACCCGCCCUGGUCGCAGGCUGGGACCUGGGCUGCCAGCCGCACGCCUGAGCUGCGGACUGGCCCCGGCGCGGCGAGCAGCGGGCGGGGCGCUGUGUGCAGCCGAGCGCAGGGAGUCGGCCAGCGAGUGCAGAGCGGCCCGAACUGAGGACUCGUGUGUGUGUGUGUGCGCGCGCGUGUGCGUGCGUGUGUUUGCGCGUGUUUUUCCUUUUCCCUAGAGGAUGUGAAUGGCUUCGCAGCUGGCUGCUCCCUUAGGAUUCUUGACUGUGGAGCUUUGGGCUGUGAGCACAACCCACCCAUAUAAUCCAUUUUGCACGGUCGGUUUCUAUCCAGAGAAAAAAGCGCAACUGGACGGGGGUGGGGCCGACCAAGGAAACCUUCUGGAAAUACACACACAGAGAGAGGAAGAAUGAAAGACCUGAGGUGAUUUUCAUAACCUUCCUGCUGACCCUUCUGUUUCCCGAAAAGAUUGUGGAUCUUUUCUACCUUUUUGAAGUCAUCUUGGCAUUUUUUUUUUUUUUUUUUGUAAGCCGCUGUCCAGCUAGCUGUGUGUGUGUGUGUGUGUGUGCGCGCGCGCGCGCCUCUCUGAUGCAUUUGACUGUCUUUUAUCCAACUGCACAGAAGCAAAUGUUGUUAACUCGUCGGUGCCCCCUCGAUGCCCAGGUUCUCGAAGAGCAGGGAGGACGCCCAGACCCAUUUCUCCGGCUGGAUUCGGAACCGCUGCCUUGCUGUGGACCCGUGUGUGUGGAUCGCUUUACGCAGAGACUUGGAAAGCGCCAGUAUUAACUUGCUUCCAGGUACAUCACAAGGUCACCAGAGGGUCUUGUAGCCGUCUUGUUUCCGUGCAUCUAGACCUUCCUGCCUUGGCCAGAAGGAUAUUUAUGUUUCGGGCCACAUCAUCUGGAGCCAAAAGUUCAGCCCUUCGAGCUGGUUUCUGUACAAACAAGGUAACAAGAAUUGCUUUUCAAACUGCUUAACAAAAUCCCCGACUCUUCCUCAGCCCUUUCCCGGCUCUCUCCUCCCCACCAAAAUGUCACCAGCUCUUGAAUUACGUGGAUUUGGGUUGGAGGAGAACUUGAAGGAAACGUGAUCAAAAGGCGAUGUCAAACCACUCUCUUUUCUGCCUGUGGUCCGGUGGGCAUCAAAGCCGAUCGUGAGAAGGACCAGUCCCCUCCUUUUUUCUCCCUCCCCGUGCUGUGCUGGAUGUGCGUGUGCAAGAGUGAAUGCGAGUGCGCGCGCGCCUGUGUGCGUGUGUGAGUGUGUGUGUGUUUGAGUGUGUCUGUGUGUGCGUGCGCGGCCGCCCUGCCUCUGCCCGCUCCCCGGGCGCAGAAACGCGGGUUUCAUGGGGCGAUCACCGCGGAUCCCCCACCCAGCGCGACCUGCGGGCAGCGGCGGCAGUGGCAGGAGCCGCCUUUCGGACUCCCUAGGAUGCGGGUGCUGAGCUAUGGCAAAGGGCAGCAAAGUGACGAGCGAGACCCGCGUACGACUGUGAAAGCCACCUGGAGCCACCUUGCCGGGAUUGUACCUGCGGGCAGAAAGUCCUCCUACGACCGUCUUUUCCUCUAGAGGCACCAGAGUCCCUGUAACCAUUCAGCCAGGUGUUGGGAAGAUAUGUAGUAGCUGAGCACCCUUCUGACACUAUCCUCAGAAUCAGCUUUGGAGAUGCUUUCACCCUGUCCGUCUUCUUCAGCAGCCAGGCAGAGUGCUGACUCCUUCACAGCAGUGAGGAACUCUUCUGGCUCCAGAAGCUCUUAAAUCUGAUCUACAAUGGAAAAAUUUCUUUUUUAUCUGUUUUUCAUUGGCAUAGCAGUGAGAGCUCAGAUCUGUCCAAAGCGUUGUGUCUGUCAGAUUUUGUCUCCUAAUCUCGCAACCCUUUGUGCCAAGAAAGGGCUUUUAUUUGUUCCACCAAACAUUGACAGAAGAACUGUGGAACUGCGGUUGGCAGACAAUUUUGUUACAAAUAUUAAAAGGAAAGAUUUUGCCAAUAUGACCAGCUUGGUGGACCUGACUCUAUCCAGGAAUACAAUAAGUUUUAUUACACCUCAUGCUUUUGCUGACUUACGAAAUUUGAGGGCAUUGCAUUUGAAUAGCAACAGAUUGACUAAAAUUACAAAUGAUAUGUUCAGUGGGCUUUCCAAUCUCCAUCAUUUGAUACUGAACAACAAUCAACUGACUUUAAUUUCUUCUACAGCAUUUGAUGAUGUCUUUGCCCUUGAGGAGCUGGAUCUGUCCUACAAUAAUUUAGAAACAAUUCCUUGGGAUGCUGUUGAGAAGAUGGUUAGCUUGCACACCCUUAGUUUGGAUCACAAUAUGAUUGAUAACAUUCCUAAGGGGACUUUCUCCCACUUGCACAAGAUGACUCGGCUAGAUGUAACAUCAAAUAAGUUGCAGAAGCUACCACCUGACCCUCUGUUUCAGCGAGCUCAGGUAUUAGCAACCUCAGGAAUAAUCAGCCCAUCGACUUUUGCAUUAAGUUUCGGUGGAAACCCUUUGCAUUGCAAUUGUGAAUUGUUGUGGUUGAGGCGUCUGUCCAGAGAAGAUGACCUAGAGACUUGUGCUUCUCCAGCACUUUUAACUGGCCGCUAUUUUUGGUCAAUUCCUGAGGAAGAGUUUUUAUGUGAGCCUCCUCUCAUUACUCGUCAUACACAUGAGAUGAGAGUCCUGGAAGGUCAGAGGGCAACCCUGAGGUGCAAAGCCAGGGGGGACCCUGAACCUGCAAUUCACUGGAUUUCUCCUGAAGGGAAGCUGAUUUCAAAUGCAACAAGAUCUCUGGUGUAUGAUAAUGGAACACUUGAUAUUCUUAUAACAACUGUAAAGGAUACAGGUGCUUUUACCUGCAUUGCUUCUAAUCCUGCUGGUGAAGCAACACAAACAGUGGAUCUUCAUAUAAUUAAGCUCCCUCACUUACUAAACAGUACAAACCAUAUCCAUGAGCCUGAUCCCGGUUCUUCAGAUAUCUCAACUUCUACUAAGUCAGGUUCUAAUGCAAGCAGUAGUAAUGGUGACACUAAAAUGAGUCAAGAUAAAAUUGUAGUAGCAGAAGCGACAUCAUCUACUGCACUACUUAAAUUUAAUUUUCAAAGGAAUAUUCCUGGAAUACGUAUGUUCCAAAUCCAGUACAAUGGUACUUAUGAUGACACCCUUGUUUACAGAAUGAUACCUCCUACGAGCAAAACUUUUCUUGUCAAUAACCUGGCUGCUGGAACUAUGUAUGACUUGUGUGUCUUGGCAAUAUAUGACGAUGGCAUCACUUCCCUCACCGCCACAAGAGUCGUAGGUUGCAUCCAGUUUACGACGGAACAGGAUUAUGUGCGAUGCCAUUUCAUGCAGUCCCAGUUUUUGGGAGGCACCAUGAUUAUUAUUAUUGGUGGAAUAAUUGUAGCGUCUGUGCUGGUUUUCAUCAUCAUCCUCAUGAUCCGGUAUAAGGUUUGUAACAAUAACGGGCAACACAAGGUCACCAAGGUCAGCAAUGUCUACUCUCAAACUAAUGGGGCUCAGAUACAAGGCUGCAGUGUCACGCUGCCCCAGUCCAUGUCCAAACAAGCUGUGGGACAUGAAGAGAAUGCCCAGUGUUGUAAAGUUGCCAAUGACAACGUGAUACAGUCUUCAGAAACUUGUUCAAGUCAGGACUCCUCUACCACUACCUCUGCUUUGCCUCCUACCUGGACUCCAAGCGCUUCUGUGUCCCAAAAGCAGAAAAGAAAGACUGGCACAAAGCCAAGUGCUGAACCACAGAAUGAAGCUGUCACGAAUGUUGAGUCCCAAAACACUAACAGGAACAACUCAACUGCAUUGCAGUUAGCUAGUCGACCUCCUGAUUCUGUCACAGAGGGGCCCACAUCUAAAAGAGCACAUUCAAAGUCAAAUGCUUUGCUGACUAAUGUUGACCAGAUUGUCCAGGAAACACAGGAGCGGAAAUGAUACAUUAUACCUCCCUGGAAGUGGAUGAACAGAAGUGUUUCAGUGUUACCCAAAAUGAAUGAAGCCACUAUAAAAUGGAGCAAAAGACUACAUAUGAAAUAUUCAUGAGGCUGGAGUUAAUCUGAAGAGCACUACUUCUUUCUCUCCUGAAAAAUGUUGCCACUGAUAUUUUUACUGGAUAAAAUUAAAAAAAAAAUGUUUAAAUUCACAAAGGCUAAUUGUUGAACUGGUGUCCUAGAAGAAAUUGUCCACAGGAGCCGAAGCAGAAGUCUCUGACGCUGGUGGAACUGGCUCUAUCAGACCAUGGUUCAUCCCCUUUUAAAGCCAAAUUUUUUUUUUCUUCUAGCCUACAAGUAUUAUUUUUUUUUUUUUGAGAGAAGGAAACAGAAAAGCCUACAUUGGCACUGAGUUCUGUAUCAAUCCAUGUUACAUUGCCAUCCAUGAUUUAAGACUGUAGAAUCCUGAAUAAUCUAUAUCACUUUAACAAAUAAAUGUUUUACUAUGACAGAA